AGCGAACGCUGGCGGCGUGCCUAACACAUGCAAGUCGAACGUGAAAUGGGGCAACCCAAAGUAAAGUGGCGUACGGGUGAGUAACGCGUAGGUAAUCUACCGAAGAGUCUGGAAUAACCGGCCGAAAGGCUGGCUAAUACUGGAUAGAGCGACGGGACUCGUAAUCGGGUCUUUCGGGAAAGGGAGGCAGCAAUGUCCCUUGCUCUUCGAUGAGCCCGCGGCCCAUCAUGCUAGUUUGUAGGGUACCGGCCUACCAAGGCGAAGACGGGUAGCGGGUCUGAGAGGACGAUCAGCCACACUGGAACUGAGACACGGUCCAGACUCCUACGGGAGGCAGCAGUGGGGAAUCUUGCGCAUGGACGAAAGUCUGACGCAGCGACGCCGCGUGUGGGAUGAAGGCCUUCGGGUCGUAAACCACUGUCGCGAGGGACGAACAAGGUGCCGGUAAAUAAUCGGCGCCCCUGACGGUACCUCGAGAGGAAGCAACGGCUAACUCUGUGCCAGCCGCCGCGGUAA
rnacentral:rRNA from 1 species